rnacentral:rRNA from 1 species
CGAAUACCUGAGUAGCCUGCGAAAGCUUCGGGGAGUCGGCAAACAGACUUUGAUCCGGAGAUGUCUGAAUGGGGGAACCCAGCCAUCAUAAGAUGGUUAUCUUACGCUGAAUACAUAGGCGUAAGAGGCGAACCAGGGGAACUGAAACAUCUAAGUACCCUGAGGAAAAGAAAUCAACCGAGAUUCCCUUAGUAGUGGCGAGCGAACGGGGACUAGCCCUUAAGUGGCUUUGAGAUUAGCGGAACGCUCUGGAAAGUGCGGCCAUAGUGGGUGAUAGCCCUGUACGCGAAAAUCUCUUAGUCAUGAAAUCGAGUAGGACGGAGCACGAGAAACUUUGUCUGAAUAUGGGGGGACCAUCCUCCAAGGCUAAAUACUACUGACUGACCGAUAGUGAACUAGUACCGUGAGGGAAAGGCGAAAAGAACCCCGGAGAGGGGAGUGAAAUAGAUCCUGAAACCGUAUGCGUACAAGCAGUGGGAGCCCACUUUGUUGGGUGACUGCGUACCUUUUGUAUAAUGGGUCAGCGACUUAUUUUCAGUGGCGAGCUUAACCGAAUAGGGGAGGCGUAGCGAAAGCGAGUCUUAAUAGGGCGUCUAGUCGCUGGGAAUAGACCCGAAACCGGGCGAUCUAUCCAUGGGCAGGUUGAAGGUUGGGUAACACUAACUGGAGGACCGAACCGACUACCGUUGAAAAGUUAGCGGAUGACCUGUGGAUCGGAGUGAAAGGCUAAUCAAGCUCGGAGAUAGCUGGUUCUCCUCGAAAGCUAUUUAGGUAGCGCCUCAUGUAUCACUGUAGGGGGUAGAGCACUGUUUCGGCUAGGGGGUCAUCCCGACUUACCAAACCGAUGCAAACUCCGAAUACCUACAAGUGCCGAGCAUGGGAGACACACGGCGGGUGCUAACGUCCGUCGUGAAAAGGGAAACAACCCAGACCGUCAGCUAAGGUCCCAAAGUUAUGGUUAAGUGGGAAACGAUGUGGGAAGGCUUAGACAGCUAGGAGGUUGGCUUAGAAGCAGCCACCCUUUAAAGAAAGCGUAAUAGCUCACUAGUCGAGUCGGCCUGCGCGGAAGAUGUAACGGGGCUCAAACCAUACACCGAAGCUACGGGUAUCACGUAAGUGAUGCGGUAGAGGAGCGUUCUGUAAGCCUGUGAAGGUGAGUUGAGAAGCUUGCUGGAGGUAUCAGAAGUGCGAAUGCUGACAUGAGUAACGACAAUGGGUGUGAAAAACACCCACGCCGAAAGACCAAGGUUUCCUGCGCAACGUUAAUCGACGCAGGGUUAGUCGGUCCCUAAGGCGAGGCUGAAAAGCGUAGUCGAUGGAAAACAGGUUAAUAUUCCUGUACUUCUGGUUAUUGCGAUGGAGGGACGGAGAAGGCUAGGCCAGCUUGGCGUUGGUUGUCCAAGUUUAAGGUGGUAGGCUGGAAUCUUAGGUAAAUCCGGGAUUCUAAGGCCGAGAGCUGAUGACGAGCUAACUUUUAGUUAGCGAAGUGGUUGAUGCCAUGCUUCCAAGAAAAGCUUCUAAGCUUCAGGUAACCAGGAACCGUACCCCAAACCGACACAGGUGGUUGGGUAGAGAAUACCAAGGCGCUUGAGAGAACUCGGGUGAAGGAACUAGGCAAAAUGGCACCGUAACUUCGGGAGAAGGUGCGCCGGUGAGGGUGAAGGACUUGCUCCGUAAGCUCAUGCCGGUCGAAGAUACCAGGCCGCUGCGACUGUUUAUUAAAAACACAGCACUCUGCAAACACGAAAGUGGACGUAUAGGGUGUGACGCCUGCCCGGUGCCGGAAGGUUAAUUGAUGGGGUUAGCUAACGCGAAGCUCUUGAUCGAAGCCCCGGUAAACGGCGGCCGUAACUAUAACGGUCCUAAGGUAGCGAAAUUCCUUGUCGGGUAAGUUCCGACCUGCACGAAUGGCGUAACGAUGGCGGCGCUGUCUCCACCCGAGACUCAGUGAAAUUGAAAUCGCUGUGAAGAUGCAGUGUAUCCGCGGCUAGACGGAAAGACCCCGUGAACCUUUACUAUAGCUUUGCACUGGACUUUGAAUUUGCUUGUGUAGGAUAGGUGGGAGGCUUUGAAGCGUGGACGCCAGUCUGCGUGGAGCCAACCUUGAAAUACCACCCUGGCAACUUUGAGGUUCUAACUCAGGUCCGUUAUCCGGAUCGAGGACAGUGUAUGGUGGGUAGUUUGACUGGGGCGGUCUCCUCCUAAAGAGUAACGGAGGAGUACGAAGGUGCGCUCAGACCGGUCGGAAAUCGGUCGUAGAGUAUAAAGGCAAAAGCGCGCUUGACUGCGAGACAGACACGUCGAGCAGGUACGAAAGUAGGUCUUAGUGAUCCGGUGGUUCUGUAUGGAAGGGCCAUCGCUCAACGGAUAAAAGGUACUCCGGGGAUAACAGGCUGAUACCGCCCAAGAGUUCAUAUCGACGGCGGUGUUUGGCACCUCGAUGUCGGCUCAUCACAUCCUGGGGCUGAAGCCGGUCCCAAGGGUAUGGCUGUUCGCCAUUUAAAGUGGUACGCGAGCUGGGUUUAGAACGUCGUGAGACAGUUCGGUCCCUAUCUGCCGUGGACGUUUGAGAUUUGAGAGGGGCUGCUCCUAGUACGAGAGGACCGGAGUGGACGAACCUCUGGUGUUCCGGUUGUCACGCCAGUGGCAUUGCCGGGUAGCUAUGUUCGGAAUAGAUAACCGCUGAAAGCAUCUAAGCGGGAAACUAGCCUCAAGAUGAGAUCUCACUGGAACCUUGA